GUCAAAUGUCUUUAUUACUUAGCUGAAGGAGCUUCGACAUGUAUACUCUGCUUCUGAUUCUGUGCUACAUGCAUAUUUUGAAAGUUGUAGGGUCCAUCAUGUCGGAGGACUCAACAGUGAUCCAGUAUCCACCUGUUGUUGAGGAGGUAGUUGGCGGCAACAUCACCAUGAACUGCAUUCUGGAAGGGUUGACUUCUUACUGUUAUACCGUCGCCUGGAUAAGACUGCCCAAACAACCCGGCGCGCUGCGAGUCCUCAAGAACACCAUUAUCAACACCAGAUCUGAGUAUGAAAUCUUCAAGCAUAUGUGCCCAGUGUCCAUCUACAACGUAACUGUCACCGACUCUGGGAUUUACUACUGUGCUGUCAUAUAUGGCCAGCAGAUCUACUUAGGCAACGGCACCACAGUGAUUGUUAAAGAUGGAACCAAAGCUCCUCCAACCAUUGAAAUCCUGAAACCGCUGAACAGCUACCAUUCCUCUGUCUCUCUCCUGUGUUUGGUGUCAGGAGUGAUACCGUCUCAAGUCCAUGUGUUCUGGCUCAUAGACGGGAGAGAGGACAGUGGACUUACUGAGUCCACCUGGACAGACAACAGUGAUUCAGCCACAGAGUUCACUAGGAACCAGAUUCUGGUCAAAGCAGAGGAGUGGGACAGAGGAGCAGAAUGCACGUGUGUGGUAGAGUUCGAAGGGCAGUACAUCAACAAAACCGUGCAACACAAUGAUUUCUCCACAAUGUGUUACACCAUAGUGAGUCUCUACAGGGUUCUGGGAAUUGUGUCCGCUCUUCUUCUUCUCCUUACACUGACUGCACGGGUACAGCUAUCCUGCAAGAGCAACAAUUCAGGCAAGCGUAAGAAAAGCAACAGAAACCCCCCAAACUAAAGAAAAGGAGGGCUUUGGGAUUCUGUGUUUAUUGUGAAAACUGCAGGAAACCAACAUUCAGAAUUUGAGGGCUCUGAGUGAAUCAGAGUGCUUCAUACCAACUAGGAAGACGUUAAGUAUGUAGUACAUUUUCACUGGGUGUCGAAAGGCUAUAGAAUUUUUACGUGACUUCUUAUUCAAAAAAAAUCCUUUUCACUUUGCUUUUGAUUUCAUUACAUGAAAAUUGUCAGAUAAGCAAUAUGCAUAAAAAAUAAAAUGUGUUAGAAUAGCCUAAUUCUUCCAUAAAGUGAUAUCCUGAAAGUACUGUAGUGAUGAAAUGUUUUUUUUCUCUCAUCUUAUGUCACCAUCUCAAAACAUCCAGUAGAUAUCAGUGUUUACUCAAAAUCUACAACCUACCCUUUCUGUCACUUGUGCGUCCAUUGUAGUGACACUGAUUGAAUGAAGAAUAGCCCCGAAGGAGAUGGCUGCCAUUUUAUAAUCCCAUAACCAAUUGUGCUAUUGUGUAUACUUUUUUGAGCUAUUUGUAACUUUUUAAAAAGUAAGCAUUUCACUGUCAGGUAUUCGGCACGUGUGACAAAUUAAAUUUGAUUUGAGAUAGGCUGGAGCUUUUUUAAACUGUUCUAAAACAUCAGGUAGAAAACUCCAUUAACCAAGUUGUCUGCAUCAACAAUUAAACAAACUAGCCAUCAUUUUUUUAAACUAAGUUUUUAUUUCUGUGAUGGGUCUACAUUGCCCCAUGCUG